rnacentral:lncRNA from 1 species
CAACCAAAGUUGUUUUCCCCACACCAGGCAUGCCCCAAACAGCGAAUAUUUUGCAUCUCUGUUCUAAAUCACCUGCUAGCCAUUGAACCAGUUGCUUCUUGUGCUCGGUAAUCCCCACAAGGUCCUCAUCCCUUGUGAAAUUCAAAGCUUGAUUGGCAUGAAAAGCAAUGCCUCCAGCAUUUCUAUCCGUUUGUUUCAUGGUGUAGUCCUGGUUCCGCUGCUUAGCCCCUUGAAGCCUGCCCUUGAUAUCAUUCAGCUUGUGCGCAAGCCGGCGCCAGGUACUGGCAUACUUGAUCCUCUUCUUCAUCUUGGAAACAAACCCUCCGUGCUUGUCCUCCAGCUUGUAGGUGAACUCAUCAACAACAUCCUCGAUCUCAAAAGCGAAGCCCCUGAUUCUGUCGACGAAGAGGCCGGUGGUCUCAUCAGUGUCCUUGAACCGCUCUGCUGUUUUCAAGUAAGCCUGCAUACUCUCAAGCUCAUCCUUGGCUUCAUGGAUCUCACCAAAGAGACCCUUGAGGGCAGAGGCUUCGUGGCAGAUCAGUGAUGCACCAGAACUUGCUGCCUCUUUCACCAAAGCUGCACCGAGCUUGCCAAUCAGCAACCCUACAACUGCUUCAGCCAUGGUGGUUGUUGCGUGGAUGGUUGAGAGCUGAGUUACAAGUGGUUGGACUAUGUCCGAAACAACACCAGCGCGCACUGGCGUGCUGGAUUAGCAUUAGCAGGUUAUGAGUUGUUUGUGUCAUGGGGCGCUGAAUCAUUCACAAACUCAUCCAUCAUCAGGUCUCUCUCAAAGUCUCAUCAACUUUAUUUCCAAGCCAAUCAUGUCUCUCUCAAAGUUUUAUCAACUUUGUUUCCAUGCCAAUCAUGUCUCUCUCUCUCUCUCUCUCUCUCAUCAACUUUAUUUCCAAGCCAAUCAUGUCUUUCUCAAAGUCUCAUCAACUUUGUUUCCAAGCCAGUCAUGUCUCUCUCAAAGUCUCAUCAACUUUAUUUCCAAGCCAAGGACUUGGUCUUCCUUGACGCUGUGUUCAUUACCUUCUGAGAAAUUUCGUUUGACGCGGUAGCUGGUGCGCGCAGCUGGGAUCGACGCGCAGAGCCAUGGAGCGCUAGUCCACCAACUGCUGCAUGCGUGCAGGCUUCGUGAGCGCCAUGAUCAAGGAGGUGUGAGGGGUGGGUUGAUUAGAAAAAAGUGAGGAACUUUUCUGCAAAAUAAUCAUGACCCCAAAACUUUGUAUAUGUAAUGUAUCCUAUGUACAUGUAUAUAAAAAAAAUAAACAUGCUAUAGUUCAACCCAAACAAAAGAAAAAGCCCAGGUCCGCUCCUUCCUUUCUUCCCUGUACAACGGUUCGGUUCCAGCCCAAUAGCUAAAUUGGGCCAUUCUGCCUGUCCCUCCUCCUCUCCGAGCAUAGAGGACAGAGAGUGGGAGAGGCAAUUCGUCGAACACCUCGCGCGCUGCGAUGCACGGCAGGGGAGGAGGCGGGAGAGAGUGGGAGAACGUUAGUACCAGCAAACCAGCGGCACGGGAGGCUCAGAUGCAGGGGGCGCGGCGGCGCGUGCUCCUCCGGCUCCGGCCGCUGCGGCGGCGCGUGCUCCUCCGGCUCCGGCCGCUGCGGCGGCGCCGUUCGUCGGCGGAGAAACGAGCGGCCGAGUGGGAGUAGUAGGCACACAGGCCGAGCGGGUGGGUGGAGUGGAAUAUACGCAGCAUAUGGGCCAAGCCUAAUGAGAGAACUAGGCCGGCCCACCAACCCAUAACUCUGCCACCAACCCAAAUCGUUUUCUAUACAACAAGGUCAAAUAACAGAACAGGUCACAGCUGAUUGAUACGAUGCUACCACAAAGUUUCAUCCGUGGUUCACAAAAUUGGCCAUGACAACCAACUCAUAGUAAUGUUGUUACAGAAAUGCACCAGUAGCCACACCAUACUGCAAAUCUGCAAUCAGGACAAGUACGGAUACACUUAGCCGGCCAGCUUCCGUUAUUCAAAGUUUCAAACAUGAGAUGACUUACCUGGAGCAGCAACCUGCACAAGGGGAUAACCAGAACCACCCUAUGCUUCAAGGUACCAACUAAUGUGGCACACAAUGUUGCUAGGCAUCUUUGGCAAGUAUGAUACAGUACAUGACUACAUGCAUAGUGAAUAAACCAAUACAUACGGAAUUCUUAUUCAGUCACACAGUGAUAAUUCAUAGAGAGGGCCUACACAGUUUUCAUUAUUCUCGGAAACAUGUGGUUGGAGCAUCAGUCACCAACCUUUUGAAGCUGUCAGAAACACCAACCAUCUCAACAUAAACACCUCACUUCAACUCUACAAGAUCCACUGGAUGCAUACAUCAAAUGACACGCUUAGGAGGUGUUUGAAUCUUUAGUCCGGACUAAAAUUCAAGUCACAUCGAAUAUUCGAAGGCUAAUUAGGAGGACCAAACAUGAGCUACUUAUAAAACUAAUUACAGGCUAAUUCCCGAGAUGAAUCUAUUAAACCUAAUUAAUCCCAUCAUUAGCACAUGUUUACUGUAGCACCACAUUGUCAAAUCAUAGACUAAUUAGACUUAAUAGAUUCGUCUCGCAAAUUAGUCUCCAUCUGUGCAAUUGGUUUUGUAAUUAGUCUAUGUUUAAUACUCCUAAUUAGUAUCUAAACAUUCGAUGUGACAAGAAUUUUAGGAGCUCCUAAAGAAACAAACGGAACCUAACAUAACACAACAGGAAAUCCAUACACCUGUCAAGUCAUACAAACGAUUCAAGAUGACAGCGUUCCAAGAUAGAACCUACUUCCAUGGCUAAAUACUGCCCUUAAAGAUAAGCUAACAGAAUAGGUCAACAACACCUGACAGGAUUCUAUAUAUCACAAGUUCAAAAAAAUUCACUAAGUCGAGCAUGACACAAUUAUCCAACAGUAAGUCAACAUUGCAGACGCCAGCAGGCCACCGUACUACGAUCAGAGAAGCACAUGAUGCACUUAACAGCUUCGAUUGUACCAACUUUCAAAAGAACAACAUCACUUUGAAGGGAAGAGCCAGGCUGCACCUGCGCCCCCCAGGUAGUCUCUCUACAGGAUCAUGGGAAGAGGGGAGAAGGGCUUGCGGUGAUAUGCCAUGCCACUGAUGUCAGAACUUGAGCUGCUCUUCAGAUCCUCCCCACAGCGGUGAAAGUCCUUGUAGUCAUCCAAGAACCAGACACGAUUGCCUGUCGAGUCACACUGAGGCAUGCAAACAGGCCUGGAACAUGGCCCUAAAAACAGCGCCUGAUCAUCCCCUAGGGUCGUCACCUUGGCCCACCGUGACUGCGCGAAGUCAGCCACGAAUACUGCAACAUCAGGCUCACACGGUCCAGCAAAAGUGUAUCUGUCCUUUGCCGUUAACAUGACUAUGGAAAAUGCUUCUGCGUACCAACAGCAAUGAGCCACCCGAUUCAACCAGGUAGAGCAUCCUCUUGAAUAUCAAGGGAUCAUUAAAUUUGUUCGAGAAGAGAUCAACAAAAUAGUUAACCUUGAUGACCUGCCCAAUCCGAGAAACCUGUGGGUCGCCGGUGUUGUCAUCCAGACUGAUGUCCAAAGCUAAGAGGUCCUCGCCAUAAUCAAGAGCAUAGAGCUUUCCCUGGUAGAAUGCCAUGUCAGUAAUCCGCAAAGAUAGGUCCCAUGCUACUGACCGCAAGGACGCCCCUGGACGGCACACUGCGAUCCGAUUGCUACUACCUGCGCGGAACAGUGCAGCAAUUAGGUCAGAUGAGCACACGAUUAGUUUGUGUAAGCGCUGACAGUUAGAUUGGCGUCCGGUUCUUCAGGGUAGUGCAUGUAGAUUCAGUCUUCUCCGCUAAUUGCUGCCCGCUUGUAACUAACUGCAUCGCUUUGCACGCUCGGCUAAUUGCCAGGUGCUCAGCUCGUGUAUAAAACUCCUGUAACACCGAUCAAUGGAGGUCGCCGAUCGUAUCUCCACUUCUCUCAUGGUAUCAGCUUAACUGCGAUCCGAAACUUCCGCUGCCUCUCUUUCUUCCCUUCCAUGGCGCACAGCUCCUCUUCUUCCACCUCCAGCAAUGACCACGCCAUGAACCACGACCUCAACCCCUUUGGCGUUGCUCCCCUGUUCCCGUUGCCGUCUCCACCGUGCAACUCAUCAACAUUCGUUCCCAUGUGCCCGACACUCUCGACCUGCAGGACUCCAACUACUCCUGGAGCUCCAUGUUCGAGCUCACCUUCUCCAAGUUCGGCAUCCUCGACCAUGUUGAUGGCUCUGUCGACGCACGCCUUCGUCUUCACGACGUCGAGUGGACACAGAUCGACCACUAUAUUGUCUCCUGGAUCUACCUCACCGUGUCCAAGACCAUUCGUGACAUGGUGUUCUAGCGCCGCACCACGACGCACUUACUCUAGCUCAAUGUGCGUGGCCUCUUCCUCAACAACACCAGCCAGCGCGCCGUCUACGCGCUUCAGGACUUCCACAACCUUCACUAGGGCGAGCUCUCCGUCGGUGAUUUCUGCUGCCGCCUCAAGCGCCUCGCCGACACCCUCAGCGACGUCGGCCACCCCGUCACGGAUCAAGACCUCGUCGUCAACACCAUGCGGGGCCUUAGCUCCAAGUUCAGUAAUGCGCUGGGAGUCAUCAGCGCCAUGACUCCAUUGCCGUCGUUCCUGUGGGUACAUUCUUACCUUUUGCAGGAGGAGACAUGCAUCGAUCGCACUCACAAGCAGGAGGCGGCCAAUGCACUGCUCGCCGCUGCCUCGACUUCUGCCGGCACAGCUUCCACUCUCAUCGCCACGGGGUCCAGCGCCGGCGCACCCCCCAAGCCGUCCGCGUCAUCCCCGGCCUUUUCUCCAUCCAAGGCUGGCAACGACCGCAAGAAAAAGCGCAAACAAUCCGACGGCAAGCCGCGCCUCAACAACACCUCCUUGCCGUCGAACCAGGCGGCCACGCCGCCCGCGUCGUGGGCCAUGGCGCAGAACCCCUGGACCGGCGUCGUCCAGGCCAGGCCUCUGCCGCCAGCGAGCUGGCGCCCCCAGAACACCGGCGUCCUGGGCGCCCGUCCGGGUGCACCUUCUCAAGCCAUGCUGACGCCGCCCAACCUCUACACCGCGCUCCACGGCCAGCCGUCGUCCACCGCCGCCUACUCCGGCAGUGGCGACUAGUUCUUCGACACCGGCGCAUCUGCACACAUGGCUUCUCACCUCGGUGUUGCCUCGUGCACUCCUCUCCCUCCUGACUACGCCCAUGUGAUUGUCGGCAAUGGCGCCCCACUGGCCGCCACCCACACGGGCGAUGUCAUGUUCCCCACUUCCUCCGUUCCUUUUCAGCUCAAAAAUAUUCUUGUAUGACCUUCUCUGAUCAAGAAUCUCGUUUCUAUUCGUGCCCUAACUCAAGAUAAUCCUAUCACUGUGGAAUUUGAUGCACUUGGCUUCUCCAUAAAGGAUCUUCGAACGAAGACGGUGCUCCUCCGCAGUGACUCCACUAGCGAACUCUACCCACUACGCACCGGCUCCGGAACUCCUCCACACUGCCUCCUCGCCACUGCAUCUUCCAAGCUAUGGCAUGCUCGCCUCGGACACCUCUGCGAUGACUCCCUAUCAGUUAGCUCGUUCCUCUGUUUUUUUGUGCACUCGUUCGGAUGUUCACUCUUGCCAUGCCUGUCGCCUUGGCAAACAUGUACAUCUUCCGUUCUCCUGUUCGAACAAAGUCGCUCGCAGGCCGUUUGAACUUCUUCAUUGUGAUGUAUGGCGCGCACCCCGGCCACAGGCGGCCCCGUCGACAUCUGCGAGAACACCAUCGGCACCGCUGCCGACGUCACCGCCACCUGCUUCAACAGCAUUCCCACAACUCCAUGGGGCGGCCACGGAUGUGGCGGCGACACGGCGGGCUUCCCCAACGAACGCUUCACCGACGGCUACGACACCAGCUCCUUCAUCGCCGGCGGUGCCUUCUCCGACCCCCACUCUGUCGGUGCCAUCACCGCCGGUGCCUUCACCAACACCCGCUCCAUCGGCGCCAUCGUCGUCUCCGCCCGUGACGCCCGCGUUCGACAACUCCCCCGCCACGCCCUCCACGACGUCGUUCGCCGCUGCCAACGCCGCUCCGUCGGCACCCGCACCACUUCGUUCGCAGGGCUUACCGAACGCUGUCUCAGGGCACCCCAUGGUGACUCGCGCUCGGGCUGGCAUUACAAAGCCAAACCCGCGCUACGCCACUGUCGCGGUGGUGGCUGAUCCCGGCGAUGUGCCCCGUUCAGUGCAUGCUGCCCUGAAGGACGACACCUGGCGCGCGGCGAUGCAAGAGGAGUACGACGCCUUGCUGCGGAACCGCACCUGGCGUCUCGUUCCUCGGCCACGGGGCGCUCAUAUCAUCACUGGCCAGUGGAUCUUCAAGAACAAGUGCAAUCCCGACGGCACUCUUGAGCGGCGCAAGGCCUGCUAGGUCGUGCAUGGCUUCCAUCAGCGACCUGGAGUGGAUUUUGAUCAGACGUUCUCGCCAGUCGUCAAGCCGGUGACCAUUCGCACAGUCCUCACGUUGGCAGCUUCCAAUGGAUGGCCGGUGCACCAGCUGGACGUCAAAAACACUUUCUUGCAUGGCGAGCUCCGGGAACGAGUCUAUGGCCAGCAACCAACGGGCUUCGUCGACAGCUCUUGUCCAGAUCAUGUUUGCCUUCUGGACAAGUCUCUGUAUGGCCUGCGACAAGCUCCGAGAGCGUGGUACCAGCGGUUCGCCGCGCACCUCUUCUCUCUCGGCUUUGUUGCAACCAGGUCUGACACUUCCUUAUUUGUUCUCCGGCGAGGCACUGCCACUGCGUGGUUGCUCCUCUGCGUCGACAACAUUGUGCUCACCGCCUCCAUGACGACACUGCUGCAGCAUAUCAUCGGCAAGUUGCGCGGCGCCUUCGCCAUGAAGGAUCUUGGACCUCUCCAUUACUUCCUCGAGAUUUAGGUACAUCUCACGUCCAGUGGCUUCUUUCUCCAUCAACAACAGUACGCAGAAGAUGUUCUCGAGCGCGCCGGAAUGAGCAACUGUAAGCCGGUGGCCACGCUAGUUGACACGAAGUCGAAGCUCUCGUCCUCGGCAGGCGCCCCACUGGAGGACAAAAUGUUUUACCAUAGCAUUGCUGGAGCUCUUCAGUAUUUGACACUGACAAGGCCGGAUCUCGCAUACGCUGUCUAACAAGCCUGCUUAGAUAUGCAUGAUCCUCGCGAAGAACAUUGGCUGCUGCUCAAACGAAGUCUACGCUAUGUGCGCGGUACGCCAUGCCAUGGUGUUCAUCUGCACGCCUCGCCGUCGAGAACUCUGACAGCCUACACGGACACCGACUGGGCUAGGUGUCCAGACACUCGGCGUUCUACGUCCGGGUUCUGCAUCUACCUCGGUGAUGCACUCAUCUCGUGGUCCUCCAAAAGGCAAGCUGUUGUUUUGCGAUCAUCUGCCGAGGCGGAGUACCGCGGGGUAGCUAAUGCUGCUGCUGGCUGCGUAACCUACUGCACAAGCUUCACGUCGACAUGCACAAGGCAAGUGUCAUUUUUUGCGACAAUGUCUCUGUUGUUUAUCUCUCGGAUAACCCAGUUCACCACAAAAGAACCAAGCAUGUGGAGCUCGACAUUCAUUUUGUGCGUGAACGGACAGCUCUGGGACAACUCCGGGUGUUACAUGUGCCAACGCAACAUCAAUUUGCGGAUAUUAUGACUAAAGGUCUGCCAACUGCUCUUUUUGAAGAAUUCAGAUCCAGCCUUUGCAUCGAGUCUGCAGAUGCAUUGGCUGAGGGGGGGUGUAAGCGCUGACAGUUAGAUUGGCGUCCGGUUCUUCAGGGUAGUGCAUGUAGAUUCAGUCUUCUCCGCUAAUUGCUGCCCGCUUGUAACUAACUGCAUCGCUUUGCACGCUCGGCCAAUUGCCAGGUGCUCAGCUCGUGUAUAAAACUCCUGUAACACCGAUCAAUGGAGGUCGUCGAUCCUAUCUCCACUUCUCUCAGUUUGAUCACUUCAAAGUGAUACCCUGACACCGAUGGCGCAUCAGACUUGUAGGUGACGCUAGACUGUGCAGGAAGGGUCAUGGUUGGUAACACCAGAAAAGGGGUCCACCAAGAGCAAGCGGUAGAACUGACGGUACACCAGCCAGUUACCAGAAGUCACUGUCUUCUGGCGAGUACGUGGGGAAGCCAUCGUCACAGCCAGGGAAGCGGAGGCGGAGCGGCUCACCUGAGGGCAUGCUGUAGAACGUCCUGCCGUUCUUGAGAGCGAGCAGCGGCAGAGGAGGGGGCAACCGGACCUGCCGCGCGGUGGAGCGCCACUGGGGGCACACGGCGGCGAAGCGGAAGCGAUCGACGUGGGAGGGCAGCUGGCGGCCGAGCACGAGGCCCGCGAGCUCCGGCGGGAGGUUCUUCCACGAGCGCGGUGGCCCAGCCAUGGGCCGAUCUCGGAUCCUGGAACCAAGAGAAGGACGAACGCGGACGCGUGUCAGUGAGGCAAUACGUCGAACAGCUCGCGCGCGCGACGGGGUACGGGCGGCGGGAGCUAGCUAUGGCCGGGGAAGUUGAGCGGCACAGAAGGCGUAAGUGGAGAAGGAGGCCGGAGGUGUAAGGAGAGGGUAGUACCAGACACGGACGGGAGCGGGGAAGCUGCGGAUUCCGGUGACCCGGCGGCGUGCUCCUGCUCCGGGCGCUGCGGUAGUGGUGUGCGUGCGCGUCAGGUGAGGGAAGGGAAUAGCAGUGGCAGGCCGAAAAAUAUGUGGACUCCUCGGCUCACCGCGUCACAUAUGGGCCGAGCCCAAUAAGAAAUCUAGACCGUUUCUUGUGUUCUUUUCUUUCUCUCUGCACAAAAACCACUGUUUUUUUGGGAAAAAAAAACUACGAAUCGGUUUCGCAAACCUACAAUUGUAAUUAGUUUCAUAAGAAUUCGUCCAGUUUAUGUAGGAUCCAUUUGCAAAAAAAAUGUAGGAUCAUGGAAAAGAUUUUAGCUUUUCAAAUGGGCUAUACAAAAAAAAACAUAGAAUUUUUAAAACUAAUGGAUAUGAGGGGACAUAUGAUCGAAGUGUCAUAAAAUGUUGGAUUCGACAAGAAUUAAAAUACAAUUGUGUCUAGAACUCUACAUUGUUAAUCAGAGGGGUAAGGCGACAACCACAAAAGAGAAAAGAGACAACUUUUGAAACGAAAAAGGUUUCAAGAAAAGAGACAACUCGCCUUUCAACUUCUGAAAAUAACUUCAAGAAGAGCAAACAGAGCUCUCCAUUUCACGAGUUCACAGAUAUAGACUACAGUUCAGAUAAUGAAAUGGUGAAGACCCUCAGAAGCCAACAACCUUCACCAGUAUCUAUGAUAUUUAAAAUUAGCAAAGAUCCUCCCUUGAGUUCUCCAAGCACCAAUUGUCAUUCGUCAGUCUGAUACUGGAAUUCUGCUGGCCCUGUGAUUUCCUUCAUGCCAACAGGCAACAGCUGGCAUUCUGAGAAAUGUAUCUUGCUUGGGACUUCCGAACUCUGGGAUGCAGCUCACGAGAAGACAAUCUGGAGUUUGGAAGUCCGGGAGUGGAAUUGCUGCAAGGCAGUGCAGCUUCUGACAGUUAUAAGGCCUGCCGAUCAAAGUUAGAAAAGUCAAUCUUCGUAUCAUUUAAACGAUAUAACAGCAUGACGGAUGAUGCCAGAGGGGAACCAUGAAUGGAGUCCCCCGGCAAAACCUGCUGUUGCUCAAAUUCUAUCUAGGUCCCAAAAAACAAACAUUACCUUAGCAGUAGCCAGUAGGUAGUCUUUAGAUCACAUUAUCCAUUGCCGGGUGCCCUUACCAACAAUAACCUUUCUGAUGUGGCUAAUGUUCAUACGAUCGUCCUUGCAUUCAUCUGGUCCUCCCUUCCGCCAAAGCCUCUCUACGAGCUCUUCUGAUGUAUCCUUCAGCAUUAACUCCACCAGGUUUUUAAGGUGUUCAAUGCCUUGAGGAAGAAACUUCAACUUAGGACAGACAGCAAAGUAGAGCUCAGCAAGGGUUGACAUUGCACCUUGUUCUAUUUGAACUUGAUUGAGCUGUGGUGCGUGCCAUAUGGAUAGAACCUGAAGUCUUGGGAAACACCCUGCAGUGAAGUGCAGCUUCUUCCCAUCAAAAGCCUUGCUAAGGGCAAGCACACAUAAACCACGUAGCACCAACAAACUGGGAAACGACUCCUCAUCAAUUCUGCAGAAUGCCAUGUGCAACCUUGUGAGGCUACUGAGGCGAGACCAAGAUGACAGAACCUUAUGUAUUGAUUUUUUCUCCAGCUGUCCUUGUAAAACAAGCUUAGAAAAGGUUGGAGGUAAACAAAGUCCCUCUAGCUGCAGCACUUCCUCCUCCCCAAGAGUUGUAAUUUGUAGAUGAACAAGAUGACUCAUUUUGUUGACAGCAUCUCUUAAGUUACCAGAGUGUUCACUUCUCACAUUGCAGACACUGAAUGUUCUUAGCUCUGUCAAAUCUCCAACCUCACGCAGAAUUUCUGAACUUGCCUCCACACAUUGCAAAGCUUGCAGUGACGUCAAGUGCCUUAUGCCACUAGGCACCUUUACACCCCUGGAAGGGUAAAUAUCUUCACCUCCUUGAUAAAUAUUACAUGCAUAAAGGUAUCUCAACUUCUGAAGUUUUACAAUGUUAUUUGGCAAAUACAACAACUGACCAUUAAAAGCAUCCAACACUUCCAAGUUUUGCAACCUUCCUAUUUUUUCAGGUAGACUUUCAAUAGCAGUAUAUCUAAGGCCCAAAUACCGCAGAUUAAACAAGUUGAAUACCUCAGUAGGCAACAUCUUGAUACAAGCACCUUUCAGAUCCAACGUUGACAACAAAUUCGAAGAUGUUAGAAUGGGCCUCAGCAAAUCAAUAUUGAUAUACCUCUCAAAAACAUGAAGUGAACGGAUAUGUGAUGCAUUUGAUGGACUAAUUCGGUCAAGGUUUCUACUCUGGAUUGAUAUACGACGUGUGGGCCCUCCAGAAAAUUCCCCAGAGCCAUCAUACACUUUACCAAAGCAUUCUUUCUCUGCUUUUUUGAGCGCAACAAGCCGUAUUACAUCAUGCAUUUGACAACAUUUCAACCGCCCAGCAUCAUUCCUCUUCACUACCUGUAAUAGGCUUCGGUUCACAAGCUCAGUCAAGUACUCCUCCGCCACUUCCUCCAAAGUUUGGUUCCCCUUCUUCUUGAUGAACCCACUACUAAUCCAGUGCCUCAUUACUGUCCUCCUCUUGAUGGGAUAAUCUUCUGGGAAUAAUGCACAGUGUAAGAAACAAUUUUUCAAAUCACAUGGAAGGUCCUCCAAGCUGACUUUAAUAAUAGUCUCAACACGAGGCAUCACAUUUUUAACCAACUGCAGCUCUAACUCAUCAUAUGCUUUUUCCCAUUCGGCAGAAGUUUGUCCUUUCGCAGAUAAUUGGCUGCCGAUGCAUGCAAUAGCAAUAGGCAACCCUUCACACUUCUCGACAAAUUUCAAAGCCAAAACCUUCAAGUGCAAUGGGCACUUUCUGUCACCAUCGUUCCAAAAGGCUGAUUUGCAGAAUAACUCCCAAGAGUUAUCUUCGUCAAGUGGUUCCAAGUGAAUAGCUGAAUUACUGGUUCCUAAUAAUGAUACUUCAUGCUUUCUUGAUGUGAUAACAAAUCGACCUAUACAAUUAGAUGGAAAAACAGUCCUUAUCUCUGACCAGACAUCUGCAGUCCAAAUGUCAUCCAGAGCUAAGAUGUACCUUUUACCUUGGAGGUACUCAUAGAUGGUCUCAGCUAGUCUUUCCAUUUCCAUGUUGGCAGCAUCAGCUGUGAUGCCAAACUCUCCAGCAAUUUUCUUCAACAGCUCUUGAACAUCAUAACUCUGUGAUACUGUUACCCAUGCAGCAGCAUCAAAGUCCAUUUUGAUGGUCUUGUACACAUGAGCAACCAAAGUUGUUUUCCCCACACCAGGCAUGCCCCAAACAGUGAAUAUUUUGCAUCUCUGUUCUAAAUCACCUGCUAGCCAUUGAACCAGUUGCUUCUUGUGCUCCGUAAUCCCCACAAGGUCCUCAUCCCUUGUGAAAUUCAAAGCUUGAUUGGCAUGAAAAGCAAUGCCUCCAGCAUUUUUGUCCAUUUGUUUCAUGGCGUAGUCCUGGUUCCG